rnacentral:rRNA from 1 species
AGUGAACGCUGGCGGUAGGCCUAACACAUGCAAGUCGAACGGCAGCACAGGAGAGCUUGCUCUCUGGGUGGCGAGUGGCGGACGGGUGAGGAAUACAUCGGAAUCUACUUUUUCGUGGGGGAUACGGAGGGAAACUUACGCUAAUACCCCAUUUCACCUACGGGUUGAAGCCGGGGACCUUUGGGCCUUGCGCGAAUGAAUUAGCCGAGGUCGGAUUAGCUAGUUGGCGGGGUAAAGGGCCACCAAGGCGACGAUCCGGAGCUGGGCUGAGAGGAUGAUCAGCCACACUGGAAGUGAGACACGGUCCAGACUCCGACGGGAGGCAGCAGUGGGAAAUAUUGGACAAGGGGCGCAAGCCUGAUCCAGCCAUACCGCGUGGGUGAAGAAGGCCUUCGGGUUGUAAAGCCCUUUUGUUGGGAAAGAAAUCCAGCUGGCUAAUACCCGGUUGGGAUGACGGUACCCAAAGAAUAAGCACCGGCUAACUUCGUGCCAGCCGCCGCAGUAA